rnacentral:misc_RNA from 1 species
ACAAACUUGGUCAUUUAGAGGAAGUAAAAGUCGUAACAAGGUUUCCGUAGGUGAACCUGCGGAAGGAUCAUUAUCGAUUCAAGGGAAAUGAGGAUGUGCUGGCCCCUCAGAAGGGACCGUGCACUCUUCUUUCCCUCAUCUCUUGCAGUUGACCCUGUGCACCUAUAGUAGGCAAGCAAGGAAUGGUUACCCGCCGUCUCUUCUUGUCUACGCUUUUUUCUAUUCAACUCCCAUUUGUUUUGGAUACGUUGUCAUUUAUUGAUAAAUCAUACAUCUUUCAACAAUGGAUCUCUUGGCUCUCGCAUCGAUGAAGAACGCAGC